AACUCAUAUAUCUUUGUUUUUCUAUUUAGACGUUGGUAAUAAUAUGAAACAAACGUUGGUGAUAAUAUCGAAACAAGUUAGUUAUAAAGCAUUUUUAAAUUUUUAAAAAGAAAUAAAAAUACUUUUCAAUA